rnacentral:rRNA from 1 species
UUUCGCAAUGCCCGAAAGGGUGACGAAGCGACGCCGCGUGUGGGAAGAAGGCCUUCGGGUUGUAAACCACUGUCGGGAGUUAAGAAAUGUAAGGGUGUUAAUAGUAUCCUUACUUGACUAAGGCUCCGGAGGAAGCCACGGCUAACUCUGUGCCAGCAGCCGCGGUAAUACAGAGGCGGCAAGCGUUGUUCGGAAUUAUUGGGCGUAAAGAGCACGUAGGCGGCUAUAUAAGUCGGUUGUGAAAGCCUUCCGCUCAACGGGAGAACAGCAUCCGAUACUGUGUGGCUUGAGUGUGGGAGGGGAGAGCGGAACUUCUGGUGGAGCGGUGAAAUGCGUAGAUAUCAGAAGGAACGCCGGCGGCGAAAGCGGCUCUCUGGCCCAUAACUGACGCUGAGUGUGCGAAAGCUAGGGGAGCAAACGGGAUUAGAUACCCCGGUAGUCCUAGCCGUAAACGAUGGGCACUAAGUAGAGGGGUUUU